CGUUCGACCCCAAGUUAAACAAUUUAGAGGCAAUGCUACCAAAUACUAAUUGAGUGUAUGUAUACUUCUGACCCACAGGGAAUGUGGGAAUGAUUGUUGCCUCUGAUUAUCCUCUGUAACAAGUGGACCAAUAAUCAGAGGCAACAAUCGAAGCAGAGAACAAUUUUCAUGUGCAUUUCCACCAAUUACUUUUUUUACUGAGAAAGUCUGUGGUAUUGCGUGAGGCCGAUUGAGUACAAAUGGGAAGAUAAAACCAAACUUUCGUAUCAAAUUGCUACGUUUUUCUAAGGAGUUCAUGCGCAUAUCAAAUGUACCUCUAUCUACAUUCUUUUGCUGAGCUCGAUCGGUACUCUCCACGCAUGAAGGAGAUCUUUUGACGCAAAGGUGGAGCGGCUGGAAGAAUAACAUCUCAUGGUUGGCCAUCUCCAAGGAUGACCCAAUUACAUACAAGACGAGCAUGUGUCAUCAAGUCCUUGAGCACCUUCCUGAACGAAGACCAUUAGAAACUUGUGACGGAAUAUCUGAACACAGACCUUGAGUCCAACACUUCCAUGGAGCUAACUGUAAUGGGAGUGUAUGUCAUACAGAAGGAGGGUGUGGAGCCUGGAGAUGACCCAGAGGACAUCGGUGUGGAGGCCCUCGGUGGUUUGGGGAACAUUGCGAUGGCUUGUGCUCUGUUGUUUGGACUGAUAUACUGUUUGGACCUAAGCUACCCACCAGAGCUCAAAUACACUUUUGAAGUCCUGCAGAAGAUUGUUCUAAAUCUGGACGUGCAGAGGUUGUCACAAUCCCCCCCCAAAAAAACAAGCUCACUCCAGAAGCUUGAAGAAGACUGAUAUGCAGAUUUUGCAGAUCUGCAAUGCAGUCGUGCACACAUCUUUCUGGGUGAUUUGUAAA